rnacentral:SRP_RNA from 2 species
GCCAGGUGUGGUGGCGCACGCCUGUAGUCCCAGCUACUCGGGAGGCUGAGGCAGAAGAAUCGCUUGAACUCAGGAGGCGGAGAUUGCAGUGAGCCGAGAUCGUGCCACUGCACUCCAGCCUGGGUGACAGAGUGAGACUCCGUCUCAA